AGCAACGUCAGUGUUAAUGCAUCUGAGAUCACCAAGGUUGAAACUCUCACUAUUGGUGAAAUUUUCCAGUUCCUGCAAAAAAAACCAGCCCAGAAGGCAAACUUCCAUUGCAUAGCAACCAUUGAUGCUGUGGAACAACUUAAAAGCUGGUACUACAUUGCCUGCACUACAUGCAACACAAAAGCAAUCCGAGGACCUACUUCAUUAGUGUGCAACAAAUGCAACAACCACAAUGCUAUUGGAGUAAUCUAGUAUCGGGUCGAGAUAUCCGUCUCCGACAAUGACAACAAAGCCACGUUUGUUCUCCUCGAUGAUGCUGGAACUCAGCUAAUUGGGAGAAAAGCUGCAGAGAUAGUUGAAGACUACGUCGACGCUGUUGGGGUUGGCGGUGCUGGAGAUAACAUACCACUCCCAGAAAGCUUAUAUGAUGCAAUUGCCAAGACAUACAUAUUCAAGGUGAAAGUGGAUGAAUACAACUUCAGUGCUGCUAGGCAAACUAUCACUGUGACUAAGAUUGUCCAGCCAGCUGAUCUCCCCAAAAUGCCUUCACCAAAUACAAGAGCGGAGCUUGAAGACAAAAACAGCGACACACUGCCACAGACUAAGAGUACUAAGU